UACAGAGACUGCAAGCGUUAUUCGGAUUCACUGGGCGUAAAGGGUGCGCAGGCGGCCGAGUGUGUGAGGCGUGAAAGCCCCGGGCUCAACCUGGGAAUUGCAUUCGAGACUGCGUGGCUAGGGUGCGGAAGAGGGAAGCGGAAUUUCCGGUGUAGCGGUGAAAUGCGUAGAUAUCGGAAGGAACACCAGUGGCGAAAGCGGCUUCCUGGUCCAGCACCGACGUUCAGGCACGAAAGCGUGGGGAGCAAACAGG
rnacentral:rRNA from 1 species